CAUGAACCUUCAAAGGUUCUUUUGAACUACCAAAGAGACUAGAACAUCGUCACGUGACCCGCAGGUCCUGCGACGCUAGCGCAAGCACCACCGCAUCUGAAGCUUCUGGUUACUGCCCGAAUAUCGUCAUUGUCCAUCUCGAAGUGCUGCGUUGAUAAGGAAGAAGAGAAUGAGCCACUGCCAGACACCUCUCUUAGAAAAACAAAGGAUUGGAUUGGGCACAUUGAAAUCCACCAUGCCCAAUCAUUCUUUCAUUUGACAUCAGCUGUCGAGGGAGAUUCAAGACACUGCAUGCACAUUGGAUGAUAUAC